AUCCAGCUGACGAGAACUAAAUAGGACGAAACGCGUGUCCUGGAU
rfam:Schistosoma haematobium scaffold1640_17, whole genome shotgun sequence.